UAAAAUAUAAACACGUCAUUGAAUCAAUCUUUUCCAGCAAGCACAUAUUCCUGGAAUUAAAAGUAUGAAACUGGAAGUUAUGUAGAUCUUGAUGAUAACACUAAAUAUUAAAGUCGAUCCCAUGCAAUCAAAAUAAACAUAGGGUUUCUGGGAAAUUAAGGAUUGGGAAUUAUAUUUAUUAAGUUUCAACGAUCGCUCUUUAUUAACAGCGUGGAAUCUGACCAUUUCAAUACAAGCCUAAGGUCACCCGUUUUCAAAAAAUGCAUAUCUGCAUGAUUAAGGCCCCGUGUCUGUCAAAGUCCUGUGAGGUGAGAGAUAAUGGGAAUGUACUUUAAGGAUUCGAACUGGAUGGAAAUUAAAGCAUAUGAGAAACAAUUCCUCUACAGUUCCUAGAGAAGGGAGGAGAGCUAUGGGUUCAAUCAAACCAGAUUGACAGGCGACAGUACCUUUUCCACGAACUGGAGAAGAUUCUCGGAACUCUGUGUUGGUCCUAGUUUUUGGCACAAAACCUGGAGAUGGCCUGGCGACCUUGUCACCUCCCAGUUCUUGUUGACAUACUAAUAUAGAAAGCCACCCCUAAAAUUGCUUGACAAGAGAAGACAACCUUUGUACCUUACCUCUACAGUAAGUGUUCAUAAACAUCCAACCAUCUCAAACCCAGAUUCCAGGCAGUAACUGAAAGAUAGGCCAGCUUUGUUGUGAAAUGGAGCCAAUUACCACAACACAACCUAUACUCAGCAAACGGUGCAGUUCCUCCAUAUCUUCUCUGAAAGAAAUUAAAAUGAUCCUUUGUAGCGGAUUUUUUUUAAAAAGAAGUUUUGUUUUUCAACGAAACAAUGUCAAUCAGAUGCCAUCGAUGACAAGGAAAGGCAACUAGACCAGUUUAAAUGGAGAAUGUAAAUGGUUCGUGAUGCAAAGGCUGGGAUUUGCACAUCUCUAUGUAACAUAGACCAAUUGACCAAGCAAUAUCCAUUGUUUUGCCACAAACACGUGUGUAUUUUGUCAUUUCUUCUGAUUAAGUGAAGCAAAUUAAAAUAUGCACACCUUUAAAGCAUAGUUUUGUAAUUUUUUCUGUUUGGAAUGGCUUCCUGAGAGCAUUAUUUGAUUGGAUAGCAAACUGGGUCAGAAUUGUUUGUCAUUAAUUUUACUUUUUACUAUUCUAUGUUUAAAUUUUCAACAAUUUAGUUUUAUGGAUAUAUUCCCAAAAAUGCGUUUAAGACUUAAUAAUAAAUGACCUGAUUAAGUUUUACUUACAGUGUAGAUAUCCUUCUUCUUCCCAGAGAAAUUUUUGGCGUAAUGAAGAAAAUUGUGCAGGAAAUGUUCUUUAUACGUUAAACUGGACAGUACUCGGGUAAACCCCUUCUAUUUAUAGACUUUUGGAAAAGUCCAUAAUUCUAUUUUUACAUACACAUCUAUCUACCCCAUGGAAUUUUUGAUCUAUAUAAAUAAACUCUAUAUAAGUAGCAUACUUUCCUAUCCCUGCUCUGGAUAUUUCCUUGAAAAAACUCGAGUGUAACAAUUCUUCGAAAACCAGAGUAAAGCACAGAGUGUUAGAUAAUGCAACAGUUAUAAAAAGGUAAGUUUAGCAAUGCACAAAUAUAUUCCCUUUUAAUUUUUACUAUUACUAACCUUAAAUUUAGGAUAUUUUCCUCACAAGAAGAAAAGUAUAAACGAACUGUGUACUUUUUAUUUAAGAAAAAUGAUUGUUUUCAUGUCAUGCAUUCGCAAAAGGGCAAGGUAACAAAAAAGGCAAGUCAGCGGUUUUUAUGGUUGUUGGGCAAAGGGCACGACACGUGUCAACCAAAAAAAAAGCUUUGAAUAACUUUGCACUACCUUAAUUAAAGUGGGUGAGGCUAUAGGAGGAAUAUAGGCGAAAAUGGG